UGGGGAAUAUUGGACAAUGGGCGAAAGCCUGAUCCAGCAAUGCCGCGUGUGUGAAGAAGGCCUGCGGGUUGUAAAGCACUUUCGGUGGGAAAGAAAAGACCGGUGCUAAUACCAUCGGUUCUUGACGUUACCCAUAGAAGAAGCACCGGCUAAUUCCGUGCCAGCAGCCGCGGUAAUACGGAAGGUGCAAGCGUUAAUCGGAAUUACUGGGCGUAAAGCGCGCGUAGGUGGUUUGAUAAGUCGGGUGUGAAAGCCCUGGGCUCAACCUGGGAACUGCAUUCGAUACUGUCUAGCUAGAGUGCGGCAGAGGGGGGUAGAAUUCC
rnacentral:rRNA from 1 species